rnacentral:rRNA from 1 species
UGGGGAAUUUUGAACAAUGGGCGAAAGCCUGAUCCAGCAAUGCCGCGUGUGUGAAGAAGGCCUUCGGGUUGUAAAGCACUUUUGUCCGGAAAGAAAUCCUUGGCUCUAAUACAGUCGGGGGAUGACGGUACCGGAAGAAUAAGCACCGGCUAACUACGUGCCAGCAGCCGCGGUAAUACGUAGGGUGCAAGCGUUAAUCGGAAUUACUGGGCGUAAAGCGUGCGCAGGCGGUUUGCUAAGACCGAUGUGAAAUCCCCGGGCUCAACCUGGGAACUGCAUUGGUGACUGGCAGGCUAGAGUAUGGCAGAGGGGGGUAGAAUUCCACGUGUAGCAGUGAAAUGCGUAGAGAUGUGGAGGAGUACCGAUGGCGAAGGCAGCCCCCUGGGCCAAUACUGACGCUCAUGCACGAAAGCGUGGGGAGCAAACAGGAUUAGAUACCCUGGUAGUCCACGCCCUAAACGAUGUCAACUAGUUGUUGGGGAUUCAUUUCCUUAGUAACGUAGCUAACGCGUGAAGUUGACCGCCUGGGGAGUACGGUCGCAAGAUUAAAACUCAAAGGAAUUGACGGGGUCAUAGCUG